rnacentral:rRNA from 1 species
UACGUAGGGUGCAAGCGUUUGUCCGGAAUUAUUGGGCGUAAAGAGCUCGUAGGCGGUUUGUUGCGUCGGCUGUGAAAUCCCGAGGCUCAACCUCGGGUCUGCAGUCGAUACGAGCAAACUAGAGUGUUGCAGGGGAGACUGGAAUUCCUGGUGUAGCGGUGAAAUGACGCAGAUAUCAGGAGGAACACCGGUGGCGAAGGCGGGUCUCUGGGCCGAUACUGACGCUGGAGGAGCGAAAGCGUGGGGAGCGAACAGG